rnacentral:lncRNA from 1 species
AAAUGUCACUAAGGGCCCGUUUGGUUCGAGUUAUGUAAUAUUACAAAGUAUCUCGACAUAUCCAGGUAUGUUGGAUUUCGGCGUGAGAUUACUACUAAUGCUGCAUUAGAGCGUUUGGUUUAAUACAGUAAUGUAAUACUAGAUUACAGUGUUUAUAGCAUUAAUAUGUUUGGUUCAGUUUAUAAAAUUUAGUAAUCCUAACAUAAAUGUAUAGUUUUUUUCAAAAUUGCCCAUGUUGUAGUCAUUUGAAUAUUGAUUUUUGCAGAAAUGACGAAUGGAGGGAAGGAGAUCGUGAUGAUUACUUGGGAGGACGACGCAAUAGAAGAUGAUAGGUGUUCGUGCGCGAGAGAGACGUCGAGAGAGAGCGAGAGAAAGCGGCUUGCGAGAGAGAGGGCUGGGACGAAGGCGAGAGAGAGAUGAAAAUAAUACUGUUAAUUAGAUUUGGGGUUGUUGGAGGGUAAAAUUAUCAUUUUACAUAAUAUGUAGUAUUAACGGGUUUCAGUAAUGCAAGAUACACGACCCCCCUCCCGUUAAUAUUUUCGAUGUAAUCCUGCUCGAUUUGUAAUGUUACAUUAACGACUAGAUUACAU